CCACAGGGCCAGAUCUGUAGAAUCCACCUCCUUGUUCAAUGGAGGGGGGUGUUUAAAGAUGUUCGAUUCUUCCAAGGAAUGGCAGGGGCGCCUCCCUCCCUCUGUCAGGCGAGCGUGCCCCGGAGCGCAGCGCUGCACGCCGGCUCCGGAGCAAAGCUCCUCCAGCGCGGCUGUCUCUCUCUCUCAGAUGGGAGAAAGAAGAUUGGCAAAGGGCAGCAGGGGGAACUAUCCCAAUGGAGCAGUCCUGAAGCUGCUUUUGCAGAGGGAGCUGAUAAUAAGGGCGGAGUGCUUCAUGGCCAAUUGGUGAAGACUUACUAUCAGGAAUACAUAUUAUUGCAGAGACUGCAUUAACUCUGAUCACUCCAGAGGAGCCUCUUACUAGCUGAAAAAAACAAACGUACCUUCAACCUCCUGCAGAUGUUUUACAGAGCCAAGUUUUUAAAAACCCACUUGUGUUUCCUUACCAGCUGUUAAAGUGCAAGCGCCCUAAUCUCCUUGAAAGAAAAAGAUCAGUUCACUUUAACUGCAACUCCAGCAAAGAAAGGAAAAAACACACCAAAAAAAGUAUACGUGAAAUGAAGCAUGGCCUUAGUUUGGCUCGUAACCAGCACUCACCUUGGGAGUAAUAGGGAUUUGCAAGUAGGGAGGGGACCAAAGGUUUGCAGUGGAUCAGUUCCCACUGUUAUUUGAUCCCACCCUAAAACCUGAUCGCCGUGAAGCUCCCUAUUCACUCUUAUAUAAUUCAGUGAAAUUGAUCUCCACUACAGGAGAAAAGGACAAGGUUCACUUUCACAAUGAUUGUUAUGUGUCUUUAUUAUUCACAAACAGGCCGAGAGAAACACAAGGGGUGUGUCUGUGUUCGAAGGAGGAAGAGGGUCAGCAAUGCAGCUGGGUGUAACUUAAGAGGUGCUUAAGUCGAACAUUUUGCUUCCUGGUCUGAGCCCUUCCCAGAAACUGUGAACCAAAUAAUUGCAUUUAUUCCAUCCUCAGUUUACACCUGUAUAACAACAAAAGAGUGUUUGCUACACUGAAGACAUAUCAGUGCUUUUUUCCUGGGGGGCGGUGCGGGCGGUGCAUACCCCUAAACAUUUUGUGAAUCUUUGUACUUUUGUACAAAGUACAUUUACUGCAUUUAUUUCCCCCGAUUUGAACUAUAAAAUGGUGAUUUUCCUGAGUCAAAAUGAGAGUACCCCUAAACAUUUUCUUAGAAAAAAGCACUGCAUACAAUAUAGAGGAGGCAUCCUUCAAAGGUACGCAGCAUUAACACGUGAGACACCUUAGCAGAAAAUGCCACCACAACCAAGAGUUAGCCAUAAAGAAAAGAAAAGAGAAAAGAAGAAAACCAUAAUUAUUGUUUGCAGUAAUUAACAAGAACUUCAUACUGCAUUCAUGACCCCUAUUUGUCAGAACAUUUAAAAAUUAACUUGUCUGAAGUUAGUUUGCUGUUGUCCAAUACGCUGCCAUCUUUUGCUCUUGCACUUUUUAUGCCAGCCUUGUUAUUCAACCUGCUAUUACAGUAUGUUUAGCCUCAGGAUGUUCUUUGGUGCAGAAGCAGGUGUGGACUCAUUACUCCUCCUGCCAUGCUUUUGAGAAGCCAUUAUCCUGUAAAUAGAAUUGCAGAGAUGAAGCAGUUGCGGAGCAGGGUCCCUUCUAUCACCUCCACUGAAAGCCCACCUCCCCUUCUCCAUCAGGCUCCUGCUGGCCCUGAACUGUUUCCAUUUCAGUUGGUAAUUACAACUCAAAGAAAUGGUACCUGAGUUUUCUGUUUUCCACUUUCUUCCUCAUCCGUUUUCCCUCUUAUGACAUGUCUUUAGGUCAAGCAUCCCCAAACUGUGGCCCUCCAGAUGUUUUUGGCCUACAACUCCCAUGAUCCCUAGCUAGCAGGACCAGUGGUCAGGGAUGAUGGGAAUUGUAGUCCAAAACAUCUGGAGGGCCGAAGUUUGGGGAUGCCUGCUUUAAUGGGCAGCUAACCUAUCUCAGGCCUAUGGCUAAUCCUCUAGUCUAGGCCCUCAGGUCAAAGUGGAUGCAGCCAAACUAUGAAUGUGGGUGUGGCUGAAGUGGGAUUGUCUUGCAAAUGGAGAAAAUGAUGCAAGAGCCUUUACUUUUAGGCAUCCUAGAAAAGUAGCAAUAUUUAAAAACUUUUCAGGCCUUUAAAUACCUAACGUGGCAUGCAGAUGUGCAAAACUGAAAGUUUGCUGCUUAUCCAAACAGAAAUUAAAUAAGUUAAUGCAAUUAUAUUGUAAGGAUGAAAAAACUAACAAAAAAUAUUCCCAUAUGUUUGGUCACUUCUCUGCUCCUGCUACUGGAAUUAAGGUUAAAAAAACAGCAUCUUGAUUUCAAUUGGGCCAAGGCUUCAUCAAUAUAAUCUUUACUCUCGGCUAUCCUCUGUCUAGAUAUAUUAAUGCACUUGGGAAGUGUACUGUUCACAGUAAAGAUAAGUCUGUAGAUAGAAAUCAAGCUCAAAGCUUUUAUACUGCAGAUCUUAAUACCAUAGCUGCCAAGUUAUCCCUUUUUUACAGGGAUUUUCCCUUAUGCUGAAUAGGCUUCCUCACGAGAAAAGGGAAAACUUGGCAGCUAUGCUUAAUACCAAUUGCAGGUUGAAGGUGAGAGAGAAAAAGGAGGUUUAACCAUAGCAGGAAAUGCUCUGGAGAAAACCAAUAGCAGGUGUUGUAAGUAAGAACUGAAAAGGUUUGGCAGAGAUUUGUGCAUUUACCCAGGACUGAGGAAGUCAUGUGCCGACUGGCAGAAAAGUACAUUGACAAGACAGCAAUGCAAUGGAAGGAAAAGAACAAUAUUGAGAGUACCUUAUAGGCCAAGGCCGAGCCUGGGGAAGAGUUAGGAGCAGGAUGGGAGCUUGAGGUCCUGAGCUUUGUGAGUCACUGUGAUACAAAGAUUGCUGUAAAGCCAAGCCGGUCAGUAAUGCACAAGAGACAUGCCCUUCAGCAUUUUUUAGGAAGAAAAGUUCAAGGUGCUUCUGCUCUGUAGAGAAGUUGGCAUUCCUCAAUACGAGGCCGAAGAUGUGUCACAGUGCAAAGCACUAGCAUUUAGAAGAGAAAGGCAGGCAAUUACUGGGAAGAUUAAGAAAAAACCCAAUCGGAUUCUUUUGGCAAGACUGCUGAAUCACUACAACUUUAUGGGCCAAUUCAGGCAAAUAGUCUCUGCAUUGACUUUCACUGGCACAGCCUGUUGACAAUAAGACAAAGCAAAUUAGCCUGAAGAUGUUUAACUCCCAGUGAACACCAGCUUGUCUGAUGAGCUUCGACUAUAGAGUCCAUCACCACAUUUACAACCCAUGUUUCCAAGGUUCUCCUCCUCCUUGUUUUGUCCACACAACAGCUUUGUGAGGCAGGCAAGGCUAAGAAACAGUGACUGGCCCAAGGUCUCUCAGUGAUUUGAAGCCUGGCCUCCAGAUCCUAGCCCAGCACUCUAACCAUUACACCCCAUGGACUCAUCAUAAACUGGACGGUUUCCGAUCAGCAGAUCCCACUAGACUGUCAUUGCAUAGCUUCUGCAAACUCCACAUAUGUUGAGGGCAAGCUGCUAAUCUGGGUGCAAAUUCCCACUCAGCCAUGAAGCUAUCUGGGUUGUUCUUGGGCUUGUCAAGGAGAGGGUGUAGUUCAAUGGCCAUGCAGCUGGACCAGCCAUGCCCCUACCUGUCCCACACAUUCUGGACAAGGUUUUGUGGAAAAUAGCCUCGGGGACCAAAUUGCCAGGAUUAUUUUGGCCCAGGGUUUAUAUGUUCACCACCACUGCUAUACACAAUGUAGCUUGUUAAGUCAUGACAUAUACUGCUGAUAGGAGAGCAGGAGAGCUGUGUAGCAUAGGUUGGACAGACGCAGGGAGAUUUUUUUGCACUGCCAUUUCUGAGUAGAAGCAGCUAUUGGAGUCAUCAUAAUUUCAGCAAUAGUUGUUUAAAUCACAUCAAUGUUGUGUGUGUGUGUGUGUGUGUGUGUGUGUGUGUGUGUGUGUGUGUGUGUGUGAGAGAGAGAGAGAGAGAGAGAGAGAGAGAGAGAGAGAGAGAGAGAGAGAGAGAGAAAGAGAGAUCAACAAUUAAGGCACUAUUGUGAACUAUUGACCUGCAAUUCUUGGUCUGCAAAAUCACUGAGAUCCUAACUGAAAUGUACUCGGAGUCGAGAGUGAAUUUCAUGCUCUUUAUUCAGCUCAUAGUCAUCAAGGAGAAGAGGAGAAGAAGAAUGGCUCUUUUCCCAAAACCAUCUGCUUAUAUACAUUAUUUACACAAUGGGCCUUGCGUGAUUGGCUACUUCAGGGCUACACCUGUGGGCCAAUUAUAUUGUGGAUUGACUUUUGCUUGCAGCCUGAUUGGCUGCUCCUACAGGCCAAUCAGGUAGCAGAUUCACUUCUGCCAGCCGCCUGAUUGGCUGCUCCAGCAGGCCAAUCAGGUUGCGGAUUCACUUCCACCUGGAGUUGGAUUGGGUAGCUCCCGCUGAUUCUGAAUCCUAUUGUUCUAGGAUUCAGCUCAGUACAUAACACUAACCGUAGGCAAUAUUAGGAAUUCAGGGCUGUCCUGGAGAAACGCUCCCUGCCAUCUGUUCUGCAGGGUCCAGCAAGCUCCCUAUUUUGCUGAAGAACAUCAUAAAUUGCUUUCUGAUAUGAAGCCAAUGAUCUUAGGAGCUUAAAUAGGUGCUUCAGCCAACUGCAUGAGGGGAUAAUUAAGAAAAGGAAGGCCUGAUGAGAAGCCAGGCAAUGGCAGAAGAUCACACUGCUAAAAUGGAGAUUAGCAUCUGAUGCAACGAAUGUUCCAAGAGCCAGAAUCUAAGCAGCCCAUGCACACGUACUUUGGGUAGGCAAUUUCCACAGCUGAGGCAGGGAGCUAAAGAUAAAUGAAGUGGAUGCCAAACACUUCUCCCCUUCCAAUGGUCUUCUUUCCUUUGUCCUUGCCUCCUAUUUCCCAGUGGGGUUGUGCAGUACCCCUGCUGCCUGGCAGUUCUUUGUUCUGGAAUCCUAGCCGUUCUGCUCUCUCCGCUUCCAAGCCUUGCUGUUUCACCACAUUGACGACUGCAGGAGCCCCCACGGGAGGCUGAUAUAUGUGGCAUCCAGGAUGCAAAAGGAUGCUGUUUUCCAAGCAAGUCACUCUUUAUUAUCACAGCAGGAAACAGAUAUCAGAGUGAAAUUUGCAGCGAAUGUUUAUUAGAUGGUGUGUCUGCCAGAGGUGGGCAAUUUUGAUCACCAGCCUAUUAUGAUGAUGAAUCACAGAAUCUAUUAAUCAUGGAAUGGCAGGGGAAAGGAGCUGUCUCCAUUUGCUCACUUGUUUUUUUUUUUUCGAAAAGAGCUUCCUGACUUCAUUUUAUCUUAUUCUUUAUUGUUAACAUCUUAUUUAUUAACAGCUGUGGAAAAAUAACGUCUGUGCCUCUCUUUGGAGCAGCUACGGCAAUUGCAUGGUGGAGAAGCAAAGCUCCCCUCACAGCAACCAGACAAUGUGCUUCAUCGCUGACUUGGGAAGCACCACCAUUGCAUCACUGGCAAGAAAAACACUAAGACAGUCUUAGCUGUGAUGCAAAUACUCAGGGCCGGCUCUAGGGGUAUGCUGGGGGGCGCGGGGGGCGCCGGAGCGGGGGCGCCGGAGCAAUCUCCAUGCCAGGGCGCCCGACAUGCUUGAGGCGGCCCUGCAAAUACUCUCCAUGCAGGGAGGAGGAUCUGUGGCUUUGAAGAGGUUGCUCCAAUUUCCAUCAGUCCCUGAUCUCUGGCCACGUUGGCUGCAACUCAGGGUAGCUGCAGUUCUACUGGGCCAAAAUUAGCAAAAGGAAUUUCAGUAGGGACAAAUGUAAGGUUCAGCACUUAGGCAGGUAUAAUCAGAUUCACAAAUACAGGAUAAGGAACACCUGGCUUGACAACAGUACAUGUGAAAAGGAUCUAGGGGUCUUAACAGACGACAAGCCUAACAUAAGCCAACAGUGUGAUGCAGCAGCAGCAAAAAAAAAAAAGGGGGGGGGGUUGCAUUGAAAGAAGUCUAGUAUCCAGAUCAAGGAAAAUAAUAGUCCCACUCUAUUCUGCUUUGGUCAAACCCCACCUGGAGUCCUGUAUCCAGUUCUGCCACAAUUAAAGAAGGCUAUUGAAAAGCUGGAACGUGUGCAGAGGAGGGCAAACAAUUUUAUAAAGGGUCUGGAAACAUAAGAGCCAACACCUAGGGGUCAAGGUCCCUUAACAUAUUGGAGGGGGCCGGGGGCCCCAAAAUUGAUGGACAUGGCAUUCAAUUGUCUGUCUUGUGAUCAGUUGUGUGAGGUUGGUCUUGCCUGCCCCCCCCCCCAGUACUUUAUUCAAGUAGACAUCCCUGUCUGGAAACCAUAUGAUUGUGUUAUUAGGGUGUGUCCCUUACUUUGCAGUGCACAGUCCCCUAAUUGAAGAGCUGUCAGUCCUCUCUUUGAAACAGUUGCCAGCUUGAAGAGCUGUCCAGUCCCAAGUCUAUUUAAAGAACCAUAAGGGGGAGAGCAGGGCAGGGAGCAGGGCUUCAAGUUGUCCGUCACCUGGACGGCAGGCUGAGCACUGAGCCCGCUGCCCAUCAUCUUCCCACCCAUGGUAAAAUGUAUUGCACGUCUAUUUAAGUCAGUAAUUAUUUCCAAAGUGGCAUCCGUCCCUAUAAAUUAGCAACUGCAAACAUUAUGCAAAUCUGUAUCAUCUUUUUGUCCUCUUUUUGGUGACAUAUUUCCUUUUCCUUUUUUUGGCCACUCUAGGCUUUAACUUGCAGAUCAUCUCCUUGUGCAUUCAUGUUGCCGAAAUAGGAAGGGUUUAAAAGAAUCAUAAAUGACAAAAUAACUACCAUUAUUUUUAAAUAUUUUCUCCUUUAUAUCACAUCAUUUGACUUAAUGCACCUAAGAAUGCUGCUCUUUCUCAACUCAAUUGCCGCCAUUUGCUCCAAUAAAUGUCUACGUGCCCACUGAGGCUCUCUCCCCACAGUUGCUUUGGUGCUCUUGUAAUAAAACACUAUUUUAUUUCCACUCUCCUUUUCUUAUACGGUGAGAGGAAAUCACCUCUGUCCUGAGCUCCCUGGGGUACAACAAAACCAUUUCUCCUCAGAUAAAUCAAGAUCUACAGUGGUACCGUGGGUUACAGACGCUUCAGGUUACAGACUCUGCUAACCCAGAAAUAGUACCUCGGGUUAAGAACUUUGCUUCAGGAUGAGAAUAGAAAUCGCGCGGUGGCAGUGGGAGGCCCCAUUAGCUAAAGUGGUACCUCAGGUUAAGAACAGUUCCAGGUUAAGAACGGCCCUCCAGAACGAAUUAAGUUCUUAACCCGAGGUACCACUGUAUAGCAAAAUAAAUUACUAUGGGGUAAACAAGUGUUGGUCAGAGGGCCAGUUUAGACACACAACUUUGAAGGUUUAUAUUCCAUCUUUUAAUGAAAUGAUUCUCAAGGCAUCUAACAAAUAAUAGGCUAAUUACACACACAUACCCAAAGCUCAUACAUAUAUAGCACACAGUGGUCUUUGUGUUUUAAAUUGUAUAUAUUUUAACUUAGUUUGGCAAUUUUAUCUGUUUAGUUGUUUACUAUUUCCUUGUACUUUUGUACACAAUGCAAAUAUCUACACAGUAUCUAUCAUCUAUCGAUUGAUCGAUCGCACAACGACAGCACAUGCUUCCUUGAGGUCUUGCUCUCUGAGGGCAACUGCCAGCCUGAGUUGUGGAUGCUUCCACCAGUGGGAAGAUGUUUCAAACCGGGGCUCUCAGCAAGCAGGCUCCAGCUCCUUAGGUCCUGUGCCACCACCUCAGUUUCUAUAGGAAACCUGCGAGACUUGUCUCUGCUGCAAGAGUCCUCCCUACACCCCUGCUCUCUUUUGCUGGUUGCUGUCUUGGAUCUUGACUCUUGCUUGGUUUCCAUUGCUACGCUUCUGCCUCUGACCUCCACUUUACAGCACAGGAGGGGAGAGAUGCUCUUGUGCUUGAAUCCUGGUUGCGUGUUUCCCACAUGCAUCUGGUUGGCCACUGUGAGAACAGGAGGUUAGACUGGACGGACCGUUGGCCUAAUCCAGCAGGCUAUUCUUAUGUUCUUAAGUUCCUUUGUUGCUGUGCACAAUAUACGUGCAAACUGUGGAACUAUUUCUCAAAUACCUUAUUGGGGGGGGGGGCAGACGGUUGACCCAGCACUUUGAUGCAUUCCAGGUGGAUGAGUUUAAGAUGCAGGCUGGUUUAAGGUCACUGAUUGAGCCCCCCAGCAAGGAACAAACUUUGCUGUAACCCAAGCUGGUUAUGCUGGAACAGUGCAUAUUCUGGCUUCCCCUGACAAUUGUGCGUGUGUGUGCGUGCGCACGUGCGUGUGCAUGCAUGCAUGCACACUUCAUUCCUUAAUUUGCUUUUUCUUUCCAAUGCAAACGUUAAUUAAACAAACUGUGCGGGAGCAUAAAUGAGCUCUAGCUCCUGGGCAUAGCUCUUGGCUUCCCUCCAGCGGUGAAGAGGUAGAUUCUGAAGCACAGGAGCUUAACCUGAGAGGCUUUGCCACGCUCUCGAGGAGAGCCACCAAGGAGCUGUGUCAAACCAUUACACACAUACGAAAGAGAAGCAGCACAUAGGCUAUUGGGACCAGUAUGGCUGCAAUCCUAUUCAUUGUUUCCUGGCAAUGAGCUCCCCUGAACUCAGCAAUGCUCCCUUUUGAUUGCCCAGGUUCCUUCUGUAAAACUUCAGUGAGAUACCUUCCAUCAGCUGAAACACAACCUUGAGCUUCUAACCGGAACUGCAAAACAUAUUGUAAAGAACUUGAACUGCUCUCUGAAGUAGGAACUCCGUCAAAUAUAAGUAGGGCUUGGAUAUUUCCCCAAUUCUCUGACUUCUUCUGUGCUAAUCUCUCACAGGCAGGGAUAAUGAGUUUUCAAGUUCUUUUCUAAGCAAACUUGAAAGACUCAUUAUCCCAGCUUCCCAUUGCCACAGCAAGUAGGAUCUGUCAAUUGUCCUGACACUCCAGCAGAUGGCAUCGCUGCUGCUGUGCUGGAAAAAAAAGUUAUACAGCUAGGCUAUGAUGCCCAGAGUGCUCCCAACCACCACCAUUUUUAAAACCAAGCUCUCAUUGUAAAACAAAACUACAAUAUUCUGGGGUUCAGUUAGUUUGGGAAGUUGGAUACUAGACUCCUGGCCUUACCUGGUUCUGGCCUUAAUGUGGUUUGAUGAUGCAUUAAGUAUGCUUUCUUAAAACCCCUCCUUCCCAGGAAAAAGAAGACCAAAAUGUAGCUGUCAUUUCACUUAUUUAUUAUUAAUAAUUUCUAUUUUAUUUUUAGUGCUCAAAGAGCGUUAAAAUCCCCAAAGCCUCGUGAAGAGAGGCAUUAGUGGUCCCGUCUUGCCAGAGGGCAUGGAAGAGGGUUGUGGAGGAACCAGGAGAUAAUGGUUUGCCCAAAGCCAUCCAAUGGGUUCUUGGAUGGAGCAGGAUUGUAAAUCCAGACUCCUGGGUCCAAGCCUAGUACAUUAUCUGUUGGAUCACAGUUUCUGUCUUCAGCAGUUUGUAUCAAAUGCCACAGGCGGGUGGGGGAAGAGAUGUGUAAAUGGGAAUGCAAUGCCCCUUGUGCUCACUGUGCAAAUUGGAUCUCAGUGAUAGUGACACUCACACCAGAUAUUUAAAGCACUAUGAUGCCACUUCAAACAGUUGCGGCUUCUCCCCCAAAGAAUUAUGGGAGGUGUAAUUGGCUACAGGUGCUGAGAGUCGGUAGGACACACACACUGUUUCCUCCUCACAGAGCUACAAUUUCCAACCUAAAGACUGAGUGAUUUUUAAACCACUCUGGGAAUUGUAACUCUGGGAUAGGAAUAGGGAUUUCCUACAGAUAUCUCCAGGUGGGGCUGGGGACGUCCUCUGCCUGAAACCCCGGAGAGCUGCUGAUAGUCGUCAUACUGAACUAGAUGGAUCAAUGGUCUAAUUCAUGUUCCUACACUUGACAGCUGAUAAUAAUAAAAUGGGCCUUAUGCUAUGUACUUCUGGUUUUUGGUAUUAAUAUAUAAUGGAUCAACACAGCUGCCUGCAUUUUUGGACUCUCCUUGGGGACAUGGAUGAGCUCUCAUGAUGAGUUCCUGAGCUUCAUGAUUUACCAACACACCGUUGGAAUUACAAUUUUAAAAAUCUGGGUGGAAAUUAAUCUUCACCAAGGUCUUCUUCAGGUGAAUGGCAUGUGAAACUGCUCUAUACUGAGUUUAGCGCAUUGGUCCACCUUGGACGGUCAAUCCCGAUGACAACUCUCCAGAAAUUCAGGCAUCUUCGUUCCAAGCCCUGUUCCAUGAGAACCUUUUCACUGGAGAUGCCAUGCCAUGGGGCAUUCUGCAUGGAAAAUUGAUGGUUGGGGCUUCAAAGUGCAGCCCUGGGAGCCCCUGUGCAGCACUUUGAAGUCCUAACCAUCAGGUGAUCGUUGGUGCUUCAGAAGCCACUUUUACCUGCCCAAGCAUGGUGCCAUAUACGAUGCCAAGUGAUUGGCAGGUGGGCAUGGCUUGGCCUGGUGCUAGAGGUUCCCCACCUCUGCCAUAUACUGUAUGCUCUAUACCAACCUUCACCAACCUGGCACCCUGAAACAGCAGCCAGGUGCUCAUCUUUUGAGGGCAUUACUAUUAACCCUUUGAUUGUAAGUAAGAGCUAAAUGUUGGGAUUGGGAACUGACCACUGGAAAUGUCUGGUGCUGGUUUCUUUUGAAAACCAGAACUUUCCUCCACAUGUAAAAAAGGAGUCUUGAACCCAGGGAUUUUUCUAAGCUGGAACUCACCGGAACCUCUUUCCACGGUGCUGGGGCAAGUGGUCGAAGAAGAGAAGUCCUCUCCCUAAAAAAAGCUCAACAAGUUCUGGUACCUCUUUUUCUAGAAAAAUAACCCCUCUUGAACCCAACAUCGGCCUGGCCUCCUCUCAGCUACACUGCCCUGCCUCCCAGAGAGCUUACAUAGCCAGUCCAUGUAUGUAUGAAUGAACAGCCCCAGUGAACUGGCUGUGUAAACACCUGAGGACAGUUAUUUGCACUGGGCAAAUGAUUUAUACUCCCAGAUUGCUUUCAUUCUGAUGAGCUCCUUGUUCGCUGUGGUCACACUUUCUGUUUCCACACUGAAGAGAGUGCUGCCACAGAAAAGCAGACCAGGCCUCUAAUGUAUUUUGUUCAGAGCAGCCAAAAAUUGCCCCCCUCCCUGCACCAUUAACUACUUACUUGCCAACACAGUGGAACGUUGUGCCUGCCAUGUUAAGUCACUGAAAUUGUAAAUGCUUGUUUGCAUUACUAUGUGUUUACAUUUGAUUAGUUGGUAACUCAAUUCUAGGGAGUUCUCUAGUAGUUCUCAUGUGAUUGGCUAACAUUGGUCACAGGGGAGGUAUCUAGCGAAUGAGAGACUUCAUUUUAUGUGAAGCAAGAAGACUGUGUUUUAAGAUCCACUGUGAACACUGCUAAGUUGAAUAGAGCGUUGGAGUGUUUCUUCUCUGCUUGAAAGAAAGACAGCAAAACAGCAGGAGAAGGUAAAAGUGGAAAUCUCUCAUAGGAGCUGCAAGGCAUGGGCUAA